CAGGAGAUCAAUCCCAUGCCAUGGGUGGAAAUGGUGCUUUGGCAUUUGAUGCAGAAUAUGCACGGUGGGUGGAAGAGCAAAAUCGGCAGAUCAAUGAGCUUAGGGCUGCAGUAAAUGCUCAUGCAAGCGACACUGAUCUCCGUGCUAUUGUUGAUGGGAUUAUGGCUCACUAUGAUGAGAUUUUUAAAUUGAAGAGUGUCGCUGCCAAGGCAGAUGUCUUUCACAUGUUAUCGGGAAUGUGGAAAACACCUGCAGAGAGAUGUUUCCUUUGGUUGGGUGGUUUCCGG
rnacentral:misc_RNA from 1 species